rnacentral:rRNA from 1 species
UACGAACUGUGCAAACGUUAUUCGGAUUCACUGGGCGUAAAGGGUGCGUAGGCGGUCGGGUAAGUCUGAUGUGAAAUCUCACAGCUUAACUGUGAAACUGCAUUGGAUACUAUCCGGCUCGAGGAAUGGAGGGGAGACUGGAAUACUUGGUGUAGCAGUGAAAUGCGUAGAUAUCAAGUGGAACACCAGUGGCGAAGGCGGGUCUCUGGACAGUUCCUGACGCUGAGGCACGAAGGUCAGGGGAGCAAACGGG